rnacentral:rRNA from 1 species
AUUGAACGCUGGCGGCAGGCCUAACACAUGCAAGUCGAGCGGAUGAAGGGAGCUUGCUCCUGGAUUCAGCGGCGGACGGGUGAGUAAUGCCUAGGAAUCUGCCUGGUAGUGGGGGAUAACGUCCGGAAACGGGCGCUAAUACCGCAUACGUCCUGAGGGAGAAAGUGGGGGAUCUUCGGACCUCACGCUAUCAGAUGAGCCUAGGUCGGAUUAGCUAGUUGGUGGGGUAAAGGCCUACCAAGGCGACGAUCCGUAACUGGUCUGAGAGGAUGAUCAGUCACACUGGAACUGAGACACGGUCCAGACUCCUACGGGAGGCAGCAGUGGGGAAUAUUGGACAAUGGGCGAAAGCCUGAUCCAGCCAUGCCGCGUGUGUGAAGAAGGUCUUCGGAUUGUAAAGCACUUUAAGUUGGGAGGAAGGGCAGUAAGUUAAUAUCUUGAUGUUUUGACGUUACCAACAGAAUAAGCACCGGCUAACUUCGUG